rnacentral:sRNA from 1 species
AUGCAACCAAACAAGCAAUCAAUCACCCAAAUAAAC